rnacentral:rRNA from 1 species
CAGUCGCCCGGGAAUACGGAGGGUGCAAGCGUUAAUCGGAAUUACUGGGCGUAAAGCGCACGCAGGCGGUCUGACAAGUCAGAUGUGAAAUCCCCGGGCUCAACCUGGGAACUGCAUUUGUGACUGUAUAGCUAGAGUACGGCAGAGGGGGAUGGAAUUCCGCGUGUAGCAGUGAAAUGCGUAGAUAUGCGGAGGAACACCGAUGGCGAAGGCAAUCCCCUGGGCCUGUACUGACGCUCAUGCACGAAAGCGUGGGGAGCAAACAGGAUUAGAUACCCCUGUAGUCCCUGUCUCUUAUACA